rnacentral:rRNA from 1 species
AUUGAACGCUGGCGGCAUGCCUUACACAUGCAAGUCGAACGGUAACGGGUCCUUCGGGAUGCCGACGAGUGGCGAACGGGUGAGUAAUACAUCGGAACGUGCCUAGUAGUGGGGGAUAACUACUCGAAAGAGUGGCUAAUACCGCAUGAGAUCUACGGAUGAAAGCAGGGGAUCGCAAGCCCUUGUGCUACUAGAGCGGCCGAUGGCAGAUUAGGUAGUUGGUGGGAUAAAAGCUUACCAAGCCGAGGAUCUGUAGCUGGUCUGAGAGGACGAUCCGCAACACUGGGACUGAGACACGGCACAGAAUCCUACGGGAGGCAGCAGUGGGGAAUUUUGGACAAUGGGCCAAAGCCUGAUCCAGCAAUGCCGGGUGCAGGAUGAAGGCCUUCGGGUUGUAAACUGCUUUUGUACGGAACGAAAAGCCCCGGGUUAAUACCCUGGGGUCAUGACGGUACCGUAAGAAUAAGCACCGGCUAACUACGUGCCAGCCGCCGCGGUAA